rnacentral:lncRNA from 1 species
ACAUGUAAUAACUCCUCAUUGGGUUAUAUAAACGUUUAUAGCUCGCUGUAACCAAUUAAUUGUGCAAACAUUACAGGCUUAAAUGUUACUGGAAACAGUCCAGUGCUCUUGGUCCACAGUGGUAACACAAGACAGUGGAGCUGUACGACUCAUUUUGUUCCAGAGUCACUUGUUAUGACGACACAGCGCUGAUUAGUUACUUGCCUUUGUGUAUUUAUGGAGUUUAAACUUCAGUCAGUGCUGAUUCACUGCGAUGUGGGCCGAGCCCGGACGGAAGCUUGUUACGAGCCAGGGCAUCGGUGAGUAAAACCAGCCUAUGACGUAGAAUAUGAAUCUGCAGAUGCCUGAGUUGAAUUUGUGACCGUCAAAACUGCUGUGUUUUUUUGAUGGACAAAACACUACAAUUUGUGGCUAAAAAACACAGGUUAGUUUAUAACAGAGCUCAAAUGACCCGCUGAUUGUCCCUAUUGGACGUGUGUGUGGUGUGGCCCCUCCCUGCGGUGUCCCCUCUGCAAAGCCUCCAAUCCCUUCCUGUGGCCAAGCACUCUAUGCAUAUACAUGAGCCCCCGAGGGCUCCAGGACCUCGGACGGGCUAGAUAGCUGAGGGGAUUCAGUUGGGCUGUUUUGUCUGGGGCUCCUUCAUCCAACAAUCCCCAGAGAAAGGACUGCGGCUUCCACCUUUCCUGGCCACGGGGAGAUGACGGCUCCCAGCGUUAGAGGGCCACUUGUGGUGCUGCUCCUGCAGCUCGUCCUCGUUUGCUCCGCUCAGAGGAGUGAGGGGACUCCUGGCCCUGUUGGACCUGCAGGUGUCCCAGGAAUUGAUGGCAUAGAUGGGGAAAGAGGAGUUGGUGGCGAAGAUGGCCCACCUGGGCCUGAUGGAGAUGCAGGGAAACCUGGCUCUUCAGGGUUACCAGGAAUCCCAGGGAAUGAUGUAAGUCAUCUUUAUACUAUUACAUUCACUACAUUUAGAGUGUAACCAUCACGACUGCAGCCACAUCAAGUGUGAUUGUCCCACCGUGUAAGAUGUGUUUGUACUAGUUCAUUUUAAGCAGCUAAUGCUUUUUUUGUGGUGGUGUUGAAAUUUUGGGAAAACCUUUAUUAGGAAGUCCUAGCUCUCAACAAUAGCAGCCUUGUGUUCCUGUUGAGAGUCCUGAAACAGCAUGGGAAAACUUUUUGUUUUUUUUCUUCAAUGAGCCAGAGGAAUGUUACUCUGGGCUUGGUUUGAAGUCUGAGAUCUUUGACCUCUGCCCUGGUGUUGACUUUUUCUGUGUGUCUGUCAAAGUGAACACGCUUGUGACAUGUUCAUAAACAGAACUUUCAUUUUAAUGUGAGUAAUCCUGCUGUAGCUAUGGAUACAUGAGGCUCCUCCUACCGGAGUGUAAUAUAAUGACGUAAUACAGAUAAUCAUGAAUAAAAAUACUAAAUGAAAAUAUACUGAGACUGCU